UACGUAGGGUGCGAGCGUUGUCCGGAAUUAUUGGGCGUAAAGGGCUCGUAGGCGGUUUGUCGCGUCGGGAGUGAAAUCCACUGGCUUAACUGGUGGCUUGCUUCGAUACGGGCAGACUGGAGGUAUGCAGGGGGAGAACGGAAUUCCUGGUGUAGCGGUGAAAUGCGCAGAUAGUCAGGAGGAACACCGGUGGCGAAGGCGGGUCUCUGGGCCGAUACUGACGCUGAGGAGCGAAAGCGUGGGGAGCAAACAGG
rnacentral:rRNA from 1 species